UUAGCUCAAAUGGUAGAGCGCUCGC
rnacentral:piRNA from 2 species